rnacentral:rRNA from 1 species
CCUACGGGAGGCAGCAGUGAGGAAUAUUGGUCAAUGGACGCAAGUCUGAACCAGCCAUGCCGCGUGCAGGAAGACGGCUCUAUGAGUUGUAAACUGCUUUUGUACGGGGGUAAACGCAGAUACGCGUAUCUUUCUGAAAGUAUCGUACGAAUACGGAUCGGCUAACUCCGUGCCAGCAGCCGCGGGAAUACGGAGGAUUCAAGCGUUAUCCGGAUUUAUUGGGUUUAAAGGGUGCGUAGGGGGUCGGGUAAGUUAGAGGUGAAAUCCCGAGGCUCAACUUCGGAAUUGCCUCUGAUACUGUUCGGCUAGAGAGUAGUUGAGGUAGGCGGAAUGUAUGGUGUAGCGGUGAAAUGCUUAGAGAUCAUACAGAACACCGAUUGCGAAGGCAGCUUACCAAGCUACUUCUGACGUUGAGGCACGAAAGCGUGGGGAGCAAACAGGAUUAGAUACCCCGGUAGUC